rnacentral:rRNA from 1 species
AUUGAACGCUGGCGGCAUGCCUUACACAUGCAAGUCGAACGGCAGCACGGGAGCAAUCCUGGUGGCGAGUGGCGAACGGGUGAGUAAUAUAUCGGAACGUGCCCAGUCGUGGGGAUAACGUAGCGAAAGCUACGCUAAUACCGCAUACGAUCUAUGGAUGAAAGCGGGGGAUCGCAAGACCUCGCGCGAUUGGAGCGGCCGAUAUCAGAUUAGGUAGUUGGUGAGGUAAAGGCUCACCAAGCCGACGAUCUGUAGCUGGUCUGAGAGGACGACCAGCCACACUGGGACUGAGACACGGCCCAGACUCCUACGGGAGGCAGCAGUGGGGAAUUUUGGACAAUGGGCGCAAGCCUGAUCCAGCAAUGCCGCGUGCAGGAUGAAGGCCUUCGGUUGUAAACUGCUUUGUACGGUAACGAAACGGUAGAGCUCUAAUACAGUUUG